CAACUACUUCCUCCGUCCGAAAAUACUUGUCGGAGAAAUGGAUGUAUCUAGAUGUAUUAUAUAUAUAUAUAUAUAUAUAUAUAUAUAUAUAUAUAUAUAUAUAUAAUUUUAUCCAUUUCUCCGACAAGUAUUUUGGGACGGAGGGAGUAUGUC
rnacentral:pre_miRNA from 1 species